CCCGCCGCACGUGCAUGGACCAAGGUCCCUGGAAUCCAUGAGAGGACACAGUCAGGGAUCUUCACGUAGGGCCCUAUCCCUUAGGCCCCCUUAUGCUCGGGGGCACACCCCCCCCCCCCUUUUUUUAUUAUUUUACUUUACCUGGCUCACAGAACUUAACUAUCACACGAGCUACUUAAGCCCUGUACCCGCUCUCCCACAUAUACAUGGCUCAAUGUACAGAGCUGUAAUCCAACAUAUCGAGUUAGUCCUUCGUGUCACUUUUUUUUUUUCACUCUGCAAUACACCGAAUAAUGGUUAACAUGUACGACUUCUUCCGCUGUAGCGAAUAUGCUCCUGUAAUGUUGUCCACUCCUCUUAAAUUUCAAUAAGUGCACUGUUUAUGUUUUCUGAGUAAAGAAUGCAACAAACGCCCAUUACUCAAUCUCAUGCAAAAGCUAAACCUAGCCUGUAUAACCCAGCUUGCUUUACAUCAUAAAAAGCUUGAUCAUUAAUUGUAUGUUUAAUCCUCGCAUGUCGAUCUACAAUAGGCACCUAUCUCUUG